UACAGAGGUCUCAAGCGUUGUUCGGAUUCAUUGGGCGUAAAGGGCGCGUAGGCGGCUUGUUAAGUCGGCUGUGAAAGCCCGGGGCUCACCCCGGAGGGUCAGCCGAUACUGGCAGGCUAGAGUACGGAAGAGGUAGCUGGAAUUCCCGGUGUAGCGGUGAAAUGCGUAGAUAAUCGGGAGGAACACCUGAGGCGAAGGCGGGCUACUGGGCCGACACUGACGCUGAUGCGCGAAAGCCAGGG
rnacentral:rRNA from 1 species